rnacentral:rRNA from 1 species
CGGAGUUAGUGGCGGACGGGUGAGUAACACGUGGGAACGUGCCUUUAGGUUCGGAAUAACUCAGGGAAACUUGUGCUAAUACCGAAUGUGCCCUUCGGGGGAAAGAUUUAUCGCCUUUAGAGCGGCCCGCGUCUGAUUAGCUAGUUGGUGAGGUAAAGGCUCACCAAGGCGACGAUCAGUAGCUGGUCUGAGAGGAUGAUCAGCCACAUUGGGACUGAGACACGGCCCAAACUCCUACGGGAGGCAGCAGUGGGGAAUCUUGCGCAAUGGGCGAAAGCCUGACGCAGCCAUGCCGCGUGAAUGAUGAAGGUCUUAGGAUUGUAAAAUUCUUUCACCGGGGACGAUAAUGACGGUACCCGGAGAAGAAGCCCCGGCUAACUUCGUGCCAGCAGCCGCGGUAAUACGAAGGGGGCUAGCGUUGCUCGGAAUUACUGGGCGUAAAGGGAGCGUAGGCGGACAUUUAAGUCAGGGGUGAAAUCCCGGGGCUCAACCUCGGAAUUGCCUUUGAUACUGGGUGUCUUGAGUAUGAGAGAGGUGUGUGGAACUCCGAGUGUAGAGGUGAAAUUCGUAGAUAUUCGGAAGAACACCAGUGGCGAA